rnacentral:lncRNA from 10 species
GCUCUGGGCUUUAACAGCUUCAUUUGUUUUCCUUCAUCUCCCAGUUGACAACUGUGAAGGAAACACUCAUUGAUCAAGUUCUUUCAGCUUGGAAUGGAGCCUCUGACUCCCAAAAAUCUCUCCCAGGACCAACUGCAGGGGGGUAGUGGAUCUAGGAUUAAGGCUGGAGCCUGAAGCACUGCUGAGAAUGGGGAGUCUGAGAGACCGGCCCCAUACAAUGGUACUUUGUGAGAGAGCUCGCUGCAUGGGCCGGCCGGGCCCCCUGUCCUCCGCCUGCCAACGGGAGGAGACGCGAGGCGCUGGGAGCUCCAGAGUGGGCGAGGACCUCGGGCAGACCCGGCGUUGCUGUUGGACAUCAUUCAGAAGUCCCCGCUCAGCGGGGGCAGCCCAAAGAGCAAAACAAACAGAGCGAGGAGUAGUGGAAAAUGCUGAGUCCUGGAGCUGGCCGGAACAGCGUUCGCCUUUCCACGCCCGGAGCCAGCCGCUCUGCCCACCUGCAGCUGCAAUAGCAAGCAGGGCCGCAGCAGGCAGGGAGGCCUUGGCACCAGAGCCCGUCCAGGGCUGAGGGCGGGGAACAGACACUCCUCUCUCUUCAGACAGGCCCUCCAGAGUCCUCGCCCUGAAGGCUGAGGUCUUUUUCUUGUUCCAGGAGUCCAGUGAAAAAAUAGUUCUCAAAAAAGGGAGAAAAAGACUUUCUUGAACUGUAGUUUCAGAUUUACUAAUAGUGUCCAUUUACAUAGCACUUACGAAAUGUCAAGCCCCAACACAGAUGAAUUGGCAAUCACCGUGUCAGUCCUGCGAGGCUGGUACUGUUAUCCCCAUUUCACAGAUGAAAAAAGCCAGGCACAGAGAAGUCAAAUAACUUACCCAAGAUCACAGUGCUCAACGAUGGCAGGGCCAGGAUUUAAAACCUGGUUUUAGAUUUAAAACCUAGUUUACAGUCUUAAAGGUGACUGCCUUUUCUCUUCAGCUUAUCAAAUUUCCUCUCUAGGAAUACCAGAUGUGAGACACAAAGAGAGGAGACUCAAGAUGGAGAGUAAAGGGAAUGAAUGAGAGAGAGAAGAAUCACCAAGGACUAGAAUAAUACAAAAGAUUUCUUUAAAAAGCAGGAGGCCAUCAGCCCAGGAGAAGGAGUGUGAGACCGAGGUACAGAAGUGGCAGGAAAUGCUGAACUGGGGCUGGAAGGUGUGACAGUACGAGUCAGACAGACACCUGCUCUGUCCCGUGUCCGAA